CCAACGCUGCCAUAUACCACCACCGCUGCCAUAUCGUACCACUAUAUAUCCACCCCCAAUCCGAGUUCCUUUCAUAUUAGGUUUGUUUUCGAGAUCCAUCUAAUUUCCGAUUCGUGUUUCCUUGCCUGAGUAGGUUUC